rnacentral:lncRNA from 1 species
GUUUUACAAAGGAAGAAAUCUGAGUUUAGAGACAUUUAAUGACAAUCCUAAUUAAAUAAUAGAAAACCUAGUAUUAGACAAGACAUCUCUUGAAUUCCUUCUACCGCACUGCCUUAAAUGUGUCAGCGUAGAAUGAAGGGAGCAGUGAACAACAACGAGCAAGUCAUCAAAACAAGCAACUACAUAUAUGUAACAGGCAUGUAUUUCGGGCUAGCACAAACAAAGAGAUAAUCUAUUGGAAUGUCAUUCAGAUCCCAGCU